rnacentral:misc_RNA from 1 species
AAUAUUUAAUUUUUUUUCUAUUUUCCGUUUAAAUAACUACAUAAAACUCAUACAAUUAUGAUUUUCAUUCUAUUUUAACUUUAAACUCAAAAAAUAAAAUACAUGACUUUUAGUGAUAGAUUAUAAUAGCCGCUAACAACUUGUCAUGAAAACUCUUUAGUGACGAAUAUAUUGUAAGGCCGUCGCUAAUCUUUGUUAUCAGCGACGAAACUAUCAAUUCGUCGCUAAGAUUUUGUUUUCUCGUUGUAAUUAUUACAUGCCGUUAUUACUUUUUAGUAAAAGACAGAAGUUUGAAUUUAACCCCUCAAUAAAAUGAUUCUAAAUUCAUCUCUAACAAAAAUAUAUAUUAGCUUAUAAAUCAAAUUUUUUAUGAAAUGAG